rnacentral:rRNA from 1 species
CCUGCCCGACAGACCGGGAUAACAUUCGGAAACGAAUGCUAAUACCGGAUACGCGAUAUCCUCGCAUGGGGAAAUCGGGAAAGACGGAGCAAUCUGUCACUGUUGGAUGGACCUGCGGCGCAUUAGCUAGUUGGUGAGGUAACGGCUCACCAAGGCGACGAUGCGUAGCCGACCUGAGAGGGUGAUCGGCCACACUGGGACUGAGACACGGCCCAGACUCCUACGGGAGGCAGCAGUAGGGAAUCUUCCGCAAUGGGCGAAAGCCUGACGGAGCAACGCCGCGUGAGUGAUGAAGGUUUUCGGAUCGUAAAGCUCUGUUGCCAGGGAAGAACGCUUGGGAGAGUAACUGCUCCCAAGG